rnacentral:misc_RNA from 1 species
GACACAUAAUUUAACUGAAUUUCUUAUUGAUGGAAAAAAUCUCCAAGAUUUCCUGCUGAUUUCAUCUAGGAAAAGUGUUUUAGAUCAAAUUAUUUCAAGAAUUCAUGAUUUGAGUGAGGAGGAGAAGGCUUCAAAAAUUAAAAACUUUAAAACAUUUGAAAUAGCCCUCUUAUCUCAAGUGUCAAAUAAAUUGAUCUGCCUGGAUGAAGUAUCUCAAUUACCCCCGGGUUACUCAGAUUUAAUUGCUUUGAAAUGGUUGAGCGAGGAAGUCGAAAAAGAUCAGGAGGUCAUUAAGAAUAGGAAGAAAAUUCGUGAGGAAGACAUCAGGAGGGUUUUGAGUAAACGCAUCAAGAUACCAGUGAUAUUCACAGGAGACAUAUUGCAGCCCAAUUUUUUUUCUGAGGAUUCAGUCAAGUUGAAUGGCACUCAGGCUGAAUUAAAUUACUUGCUGAAUUUCUUUAAACAGUCAGAAGUUGGUUAUCUGUUUGGGAGUUAUAGAUUUGGUGCUUUCAAUUUACCAAUAAUACAAUUACCAUAUUAUGCCCAGGGUAUAUGCACUGUUGGAUAUUUGAGGGGUCUAGAGGCACUCAAACUGGAUAGGUAUCAAGAGGAAAUAGGAAAAAAGAAAAUUGUCGCUUUAGUGGCUUCUCAAGCUGACAAAAGGUACCUAAGUUCAACCCCACUCACAACUUUAACUAUAGGGGAGAGUCAAGGAUCAAGCUUUCAGUAUACAGUCUUGUACAUCACACCUGAUUUUCUCAAAAUUUCCGAAGAAAUGGUAAUUGUGGCAAUCACAAGACAGAGAAAAGGAAUCUUCAUUGUAGUGGAUGAACAAUUUGAUUAUGACCUUUCAACUUCUUUUGCAAUCAAGAGGAAAAAUCAUGGUGUAAUCACAGGCGAUUUUGAAUUUAUUGACACCUUCAUCACAAAAAAGAUCUCAGGUUUUAGAGUUGUCAAUGAACAAAAAUUUGGAGGUGAUU